CUAAAACUAUAAAAAAAACUAAAUGGAGACCAAUUGAAAAGAGGCUUUGGGGGAAGUGCUGAAUGCUCUGCAGUUGCCUACAGGGAGUGCCCGGCUGGAAGAGACGAGGGAAUUCUGGAAAUGACCUUGGAAAAGUCUUGCAGCUUCUUUUCCCGGCAGCCGUACAGAACUAUGGAUUUAGUCCUGCUGGUGAAGUGUCCUCAGAUUUGCCAGACUUGUGAAGUCAUGAAUCACAGGACCCUGAAAUAGCUGCCAUGUCCAGCAAACUGAAGUCCUUCUGCCUUCCACCGUUACCUCUUCCCCCCACGCUGAAACGUCAGUCACUCUCUUUAUUUGUUGCACACUCCACCGCUUAUUAACCCAGUGAACUGACAGUUGCGGGGGCAUGGAUUUAAAGGGGAGCUAUCUAGAAAAUGUAAAAUACGAUUCAGCAUACUGAAAUAUGAAACGUUU